rnacentral:rRNA from 1 species
GCUCCGGCGCUUUGAGAGUGGACCUGCGGGCCAUCAGCUAGUCGAUAGGGUAAUGGCCUACCAACGCAAAGACGGGUACGGGGCGUGAGAGCGUGACCCCGCACACUGGCACUGGGAUACGGGCCAGACUCCUACGGGAGGCAACAGUGAGGAAUAUUGCGCAAUGAGCGAAAGCUAGAUGCAGGAUCGCCGCCUGGGUGAUGAAGGCCUACGGGUCGUAGAAGCCUUUUCUGGGGGACGAGUAGGGACGGUACCGCAAGAAUAUGCCUCAGUUAACUAUGUGCCAGCAGCCGAGGUAAUACAUAGGAGGCAGACGUUAUCCGGAUUGACUGGGCGUAAACAGCCUUGAGGCGGCUUCGUAAUUUGCACGUGAAAGCUCCCGGCUUAACUGUGAGAGGCCUUUCAAUACUGCGGUGCUUCAGGACAGUAGACGGGGUUGUAAUUACCUGUGUAGUGGUGAAAUGCGUAGAUAUCGGAAGGAACACCAGUGUGGUAAAUCUGNCCCCUGUGAUGCUCCUGAGGCUGAAGGCGAAAGCUAUGGUAGCGAACGGGAUUAGAGACCCCGGUAGUCCUAACCGUUAACGAUGGAUACUAGGUGUAGGAGCUUACAAUUCCUUAUGUGCCGGAGCUACGCGCGUUAAGUAUCCCGCCUGGGGACUACGGUCGCAAGCCUUAUACUCAAAGGGUUUGACAUGGGCCCGCACAAGCAGCGGAGCGUCUGUUUUAAUUCGAUGCAACGCGAUGAACCUUACCAGGGCUUGACUUGUAGGUAGUAGUGUAGCGUUAGAGGUACGAUCAUUCGGGAAGCCUACACAGGUGCUGCAUGGCUGUCGUCAGCUCGCGCCGUGAGCUGCUAGGUUAAGUCCUGUUACGAGCGCAACCCCUGCCGUUAGUUACAAGUGUCUAACGGGACUGCCCGGCCAAAUUGGGACGGAAGGUGGGGAUGACGUCAAGUCGGCAUGGCCUUUAUGUCCUGGGCUACACACACGCUACA